GACAGAGGUGCCGAGCGUUAGGCGGAAUCACUGGGCUUAAAGCGUGUGUAGGCGGAUUUGUAAGUACCUUGUGAAAUCCCACGGCUCAACCGUGGAACUGCUUGGUAUACUGCUUAUCUUGGGCCACUUAGGGGUUACCGGAACAAACGGUGGAGCGGUGAAAUGCGUAGAUAUCGUUUGGAACGCCAAUGGUGAAAACAGGUAACUGGGAGUGUGCCGACGCUGAGACACGAAAGCCAGGGGAGCGAACGGGAUUAGAAACCCCCGUAGUCC
rnacentral:rRNA from 1 species